AAUUAGUUAUUAAUUCAAGUUAAUUCAUUUAAUAACCAUCUAGGAAAGACUCAAUCACUGCUUACUUCUUCACACACACCAACAACUGACGAAAUACAGUCGGUAGUUAAGCAGUUUAUUGCUGGAAAUGAACGCCAUUAUGAAUUUUGGGCGUCAAAAGUUAAUCAAUCAAUCAAUUAAUCGACCAAAACUGACCACACCCAUCAUGAAUAUUAAUUAAAUACGGCAAAAUUUUCGCGCGCUUCGCGCGCGAAAAGGUUCUCUCUCUUGCAUAGACCUAGUGCCCUACCAAUCUUUCAAGGCCAGCGACGCCCCUGACUAGUGGUAUUUCUGGGGUUCCAUGUCCUUCGGCUACUUCUCUGCUGGGGUUUCCGAUUGGAUUAAGUAACCUGGGGAAUACUUGUUUCGCAAACUCUGUUCUACAAGCACUGUUUUGCACUAGGAGUUUUCAUUCUGGUAUUAUUAGUCAUGCCAAAGUACCAGGGUGUAACCUUCUAUCUCCUUGUUUUUUUGUGUGAGGUUAAAGCUGUUUUUGUGGGUCUUCUUGUAGAUCCUGGACCAUCUUUUUCUCCUUCCACAUUCGUGUCUUACAAUGUCAUGAACUCUAUUUUACCUCAAUGGCAAAUGGGAGCACAAGAGGAUGCUCACGAGUUUUUUCUGGGUCUAUUACGUGUAG